UCCGGUUGAUCCUGCCGGACCCGACUGCUAUCGGAGUGAGGCUAAGCCAUGCGAGUCGUACGUCUCUUAACUGCAAGAGGCGUGGCGAACGGCUCAGUAACACGUAGCUAACUUAACCUAGAGACGUGAACAACCCCGGGAAACUGGGAUUAAUUCACGAUAGAUCAAGGUUCCUGGAAUGGGCUUUGUUCAAAAGGGAUGAGCAAGCAUGUUUUGUUCAUCUGCUCUAGGGUAGGGCUGCGGCCGAUCAGGUUGUUGGUGGGGUAAUGGCCCACCAAGCCUAUAACCGGUGCGGGCUUUGAGAGAAGGAGCCCGGAGAUGGAUACUGAGACAAGGAUCCAGGCCCUACGGGGCGCAGCAGGCGCGAAACCUUCGCAAUAUGCGAAAGCGUGACGAGGUCACUCCGAGUGCCACUCGCUGAGGGUGGCUUUUCUUAAGUCUAAAAAGCUUGGGGAAUAAGGGGAGGGUAAGUCUGGUGUCAGCCGCCGCGGUAAUACCAGCUCCCCGAGUGGUCGGGACGUUUAUUGGGCCUAAAGCAUCCGUAGCCGGUCGUGUAGGUCUCCUGUUAAACCCAACGGCUCAACCGUUGGACUGCAGAAGAUACCGCAGGACUAGGAGGCGGGAGAGGCGGACGGUACUCCAUGGGUAGGGGUAAAAUCUUUUGAUCCAUGGAAGACCACCAGUGGCGAAGGCGGUCCGCCAGAACGCGCUCGACGGUGAGGGAUGAAAGCUGGGGGAGCGAACCGGAUUAGAUACCCGGGUAGUCCCAGCCGUAAACGAUGCGAGCUAGGUGAUGGAGUGGCUGAGUGCCAUUCCAGUGCCGCAGAGAAGUCGUUAAGCUCGCCGCCUGGGGAGUACGGUCGCAAGGCUGAAACUUAAAGGAAUUGGCGGGGGAGCACCACAAGGGGUGAAGCCUGCGGUUUAAUUGGAGUCAACGCCGGGAACCUUACCCAGGGAGACAGCAGAAUGAAGGUCAGGCUAAAGACUUUACCAGACAAGCUGAGAGGAGGUGCAUGGCC
rnacentral:rRNA from 1 species